rnacentral:rRNA from 1 species
UACGGGGGGGGCAAGCGUUGUUCGGAAUUACUGGGCGUAAAGGGCUCGUAGGCGGCCAACUAAGUCGAACGUGAAAUCCCUCAGCUUAACUGGGGAACUGCGUCCGAUACUGAUUGGCUUGAAUCCGGAAGAGGGAUGCGGAAUUCCAGGUGUAGCGGUGAAAUGCGUAGAUAUCUGGAGGAACACCGGUGGCGAAGGCGAAUCUCUGGACAGUUACUGACACUGAGGCACGAAGGCCAGGGGAGCAAACGGG